rnacentral:rRNA from 1 species
AAUGAACGCUGGCGGCAUGCCUAACACAUGCAAGUCGAACGAAGGCUUCGGACUUAGUGGCGAACGGGUGCGUAACGCGUGGGAAUCUGCCCUCGGCUUCGGAAUAACAGUUAGAAAUGAUUGCUAAUACCGGAUGAUGUCGUAAGACCAAAGAUUUAUCGCCCAAGGAUAAGCCCGCGUAGGAUUAGCUAGUUGGUGGGGUAAAGGUCCACCAAGGCGACGAUCCGUAGCUGGUCUGAGAGGAUGAUCAGCCACACUGGGACUGAGACACGGCCCAGACUCCUACGGGAGGCAGCAGUGGGGAAGAGUGGACAAUGGGCGAAAGCUUGAUCCAGCAAGGCCGCGUGAGUGAUGAAGAACUUAGGGUUGUAAAUCUCUUUUACCCGGGAUGAUAAUGACAGUACCGGUAGAAUAGGCUCCGGCUAACUUCGUGCCAGCAGCCGCGGUAAAAC